rnacentral:rRNA from 1 species
AUUGAACGCUGGCGGCAGGCCUAACACAUGCAAGUCGAGCGGAUGAAGGGAGCUUGCUCCUGGAUUCAGCGGCGGACGGGUGAGUAAUGCCUAGGAAUCUGCCUGGUAGUGGGGGAUAACGUCCGGAAACGGGCGCUAAUACCGCAUACGUCCUGAGGGAGCAAGUGGGGGAUCUUCGGACCUCACGCUAUCAGAUGAGCCUAGGUCGGAGUAGCUAGUUGGUGGGGUAAAGGCCUACCAAGGCGACGAUCCGUAACUGGUCUGAGAGGAGGAUCAGUCGCAUGAGAACGGAGACAGGGACAAGGGGCCUACGGGAGGGAGCAGAGGGGAAUAUGGGACAAUGGGCGAAAGUCUGGUCCAACGAGGGCGAGUGUGUGAAGAAGGUCUUGGGAUUGUAAAGCACUUUAAGUUGGGAGAAAGGGCAGUAAGUUAAGACCAUGCUGUAUUGACGGUACCAGCAGAAUAAGCACCGGCUAACUACGUG